AAUAGCAAGUCAGGGGUAUAUGUCGAUAAAAUUAUAUCGAUAAGUAAGAUGCACUUACUACUCAUGUGGUAAUUAUAAAGGGGUCACACACGAUUUCGAUUUGUAUGAAUGUGACGAGAAAAGUGGUUGAUUCGAUUGUAAGAUUGUGACGUUACCAAUCAAAUCAGGAGGUGCGGAUGUGAAACUGACAAAUUUCAAUGUUUGGGGGCAAGUUGUUUAUAUCAAGAGCUCGCGGUUGUCGCCAUAAAUCUAAACUUGGUGAUUUAAUUUUAUACAAUGUGACCGGUAGAUGAGAUUGAUCGAUAAUUAAAGUUAGACC